GUCAAAGCCAUUUGCCCCGUCUUGGAGUUUUCUGUCUAGCCAAAUGAUGUUACUUCCCAGACAACUUCUCUUACUAACUGGUAAGAAAAGUUCACCCAGUGCCUCAUGAUAUCCAUUGUUUUGGCAGAAAUUAAGAAGCUUGCUGAGCUCAUGUUCGUCAUGACCAUGUUCCUGGGGACAACUGGGGGUGUUUGCCUCACCAGUCUCAUUCUCAGCUGGCAAAAGCCAGCUUUAGUUGCAAAGAGUCUCAUUGUCUGCCAGAGAAGGAUGAUCUGACCCUCCACUCUGCAGCCAUAGGGAGACUGGCUUCUUGAAGCAAAGCCUUGGCCAGCUCGUGCCUGAGAGCCACCCUUCCCCUCCCAGAUGACCUUUCAGCUUCUGAGCUUCCUCAAUUUGUCACAGAUAUUUGUGGGACUUCAGAACAUUUGAAAGUAAAGAAGCAGAAGCUGUGUCAGAUCAAGGGUCCUUAAGCCUACUGUUGAAUGAAGUACCAUUUCGAGCUAAGGGAGGCACUAUUUGACAGAACAAAAGGUAUUUCUCCUGUCAAGCUCAAGGAUAUCUGGAAGCACUGCAAAAUGGGAGUCACCCCGCAGCCAUUCUGGGAUCUGCUCUGCACAGCCAGAGAUGCCACUGACAGCUUUUAGAUAGGAGGAAGCUGAGGCUAAAGAGCAGAGAAUAUUUCUUGCCCUACAUUGUUCUUGAAGACUAUUUCUGGCACACAGGAAGGUCUCACAAAAUUACCAUCAAACUUAUUUUAGCUAAUUCCAUACGUGACUUGAAGUACUCCAGAGGUGUGUGUCAAGCCUCGGAGAACUGAUGGCAAGUUUCACUCCCUGAUUAGACAUAGAAAUAAAUGUAUGACACUCUAGGGGUUGCCUGGAAGUGCUUUUCUUAUAAACAGAGGGGAAAACAGUCUUCAAAUGAUACACAAGAAAGUUAACAGGAGUGGGUCCAAAUAUUGUACUCUAAAAUGAACACUUUGAUAAUCAUAACAAUGUGGUUUGAAAAGCAUCACUUUAAAAGGUCAGCUAUACCACCCUCUGACUGCACAUUGAAAGCAUAGCGGAUAUAUUGAGUCAUACAUAUUGUUCAUUGUCAUUUGCAUUUGGUGAAAUCCCUGCAUUUUACCCAAUUUAGUAAGCAAGCACCGCCUCGGACUCCCUUGGCAAUACCUCUAAAUGCAGUUACUGUUUGUUGGGCUAAAACAACAUCUUGUCCCAUCCUGCACCAGUAAAUCACUCUUCGGUCUUUUGAUCAAUGUUUGCCUUUUCAAGCCUGUGAGUCAUUUUGCAUUAAUGGAAAGAGAGGGAGUGACACACGAGAGCAAUGUGGGUAUUUUGAGCUGCACCUCUGGGAUACUUUUGUGCACGUUGUUCUGAACAAAACGACCAUCUGUAUCGGUUUGCUGACAGCCACUAGUGCAUCAAAAGAUCUGACUUCCUAUCUUUGUGGAUAAAGACUGGCUUAAUUCUACAAACACCAUGCAGAGUCAUCAGGCGACAUGUCAUGAAAAGGCCUUACUGAAAACAAGCACACUCUUUGCAACCCAGAAUUUUUUUCAAAAUUGUCCUCAGCAUCUGACCUCAUGGCCUUUUCCAUAUUUUUCUGCACAUCACCCAUCACUGUUCAAUUUCCCAACAGUCAUGUCAGUGAUGUUUCCAACCAGAAUACGGCGGAAGCUGUCCUCACCCUUCCGGGGCCUACACCUGAAGAGUAAGCAAAUUUUGUGGGUGUUUCAGUCUUUUUAAAUUUUCUAUGAGCAAUGUAAAAAUGACUCAUUCCUGCUUUGGCUGGAAUAUAUAAUUGGUAAACAUUGGUGGGGAGCAAUCAUAUUUCU